rnacentral:rRNA from 1 species
CCGGCGCACGGGUGAGUAACACGUAUCCAACCUGCCGUCUACUCUUGGACAGCCUUCUGAAAGGAAGAUUAAUACAAGAUGGCAUCAUGAGUCCGCAUGUUCACAUGAUUAAAGGUAUUCCGGUAGACGAUGGGGAGUGCGUUCCAUUAGAUAGUAGGCGGGGUAACGGCCCACCUAGUCUUCGAUGGAUAGGGGUUCUGAGAGGAAGGUCCCCCACAUUGGAACUGAGACACGGUCCAAACUCCUACGGGAGGCAGCAUG